rnacentral:rRNA from 1 species
ACCUAUGGCCAUGCUACUCUGAACAAGUCCUAUCCUGUCUGACCUCACCAAGUCUAAGCAGAGUUGGUCCUACUUAGUACUUGGAUGGGAGACCACCUAGGAAGACCAAGUGCUGUAGGCA